UCUUUAGUAACACCUUGGAGAUAAUGAUGGCAAAGCGUGAAUAUUUAAAUAACCAGCUCAGGCGUCAGCAACAGCGAUUUCAUUGGCUAACAAAAAGGUCACUCUGACGUAACACCCGAACGGGAUGUUGUUAGAAUGAAAUGAUCUAAUUUUAAUUAGAUGAAUAUGAAUGCUGCAUCGAUAUUAGGAAAUUGAUUAAUUGAACUUUUGGACGUUUGUUUUAAAGGUCUGGGAAUUAUCAUUAAAUCAUAAACGCAAAUUGACAUCAAUGAAAGAAAAUAUCUGAUGCUCUUUUGGGGGAAAGAAAACUUCAGACAAUUUCUGUGACACUGCGCAUGCUUAUCGGCUUCCGAUCUAUGUUUUGUUUGUCCGCAGAUGUCGCUAACAUAAAGAUGAUGCGUUAAGACUUCUCACUUCAUUUAAAGUUUGCGGAGAAGCUGUGGUUCCGGUGUUCGGCGUGCUUCUUAUCAAAAAGUGUCAAUGAAGGACCAGUGGUAAUGGGAUAUUGGCAGUGUUUCAGUGUGUUGUUUGAACGAGGAUUUUAUUGUUAGAGAGUUUCCUGGUAUGGCGCCCACGCUUAAAGCAGUACAUGCAACAAUCAUCACUGUGACGCAGGUGUUUUAUGUGCCUGCACAUCCUUAUUCUGGCUUACUCCAUCACCACUUAGUGGCGUAGUGAACAGAAAAUAGACCUGCACGUCAAUUAAGAAGGGGGUCAAAGGGCCGUUUUGACGACAACAGUGAGUCCAGGACAAAUCCCUGGUGGGAGCCCAGAUGGUGAAGCCCCCGCAAGCUCCUGAAUUCUGACAGUUUGAAAGAAAAGAAUUUAACUCCUGAAAUGCAUGCAAGACUAUUUGGUUCAUUAUACUACAAAUUUAGCUAUUAAAUCACGUCCACGAAA